AAGACGGUUUAGGCUGUCACUUACAGAUGGGCCCGCGGCGCAUUAGCUAGUUGGUGAGGUAACGGCUCACCAAGGCCACGAUGCGUAGCCGACCUGAGAGGGUGAUCGGCCACACUGGGACUGAGACACGGCCCAGACUCCUACGGGAGGCAGCAGUAGGGAAUCUUCCGCAAUGGACGAAAGUCUGACGGAGCAACGCCGCGUGAGCGAUGAAGGCCUUCGGGUCGUAAAGCUCUGUUGUUAGGGAAGAACAAGUAUCGGAGUAACUGCCGGUACCUUGACGGUACCUAACCAGAAAGCCACGGCUAACUACGUGCCAGCAGCCGCGGUAAUACGUAGGUGGCAAGCGUUGUCCGGAAUUAUUGGGCGUAAAGCGCGCGCAGGCGGUCCUUUAAGUCUGAUGUGAAAGCCCACGGCUCAACCGUGGAGGGUCAUUGGAAACUGGGGGACUUGAGUGCAGAAGAGGAGAGUGGAAUUCCACGUGUAGCGGUGAAAUGCGUAGAGAUGUGGAGGAACACCAGUGGCGAAGGCGACUCUCUGGUCUGUAACUGACGCUGAGGCGCGAAAGCGUGGGGAGCGAACAGGAUUAGAUACCCUGGUAGUCCACGCCGUAAACGAUGAGUGCUAAGUGUUAGAGGGUUUCCGCCCUUUAGUGCUGCAGCAAACGC
rnacentral:rRNA from 1 species